GCUGGGGCAGGGUGGCAGUAGGGAAGGUAAAGGAAUAACAACAAAAGCUUUAUUGACCAACAGCGUGGAGGCCAGUGUUGUGGGUAUGAAUUGUGUCCCCACCGAAUUCUUACAUUGAAGCCCUAAGCCCCAGCACCUCUGAAUGUGACUGCCUGGACACAGAAUCUUUAAAGAAGUAAUUAAGUAAACAUGAGGCUGUUAAGAUGGGCCCUAAUCCAAUCUGACUGGUGUCCUUAUAAGAAAAUGAAUUUUUGUUUUGUUUUGUUUUUGAGACAGGGUUUUGCAGUGUCACCCAGGCUGGAGUACAAUGGCACAGUCUUGGCUCACUGCAACCUCCGCCUCCCAGGUUCAAGUGAUUCUUCCACCUCAACCUCCCAAGCAGCUGAGAUUACAGGUGCCCGCCACCAUGCCCUGCUAGUUUUUUUUCUUUUUUUCUUUUUUUUUUGUAUUUUUAGUAGAGACAGGGUUUCUUUAUGUUGGCCAGGCUGGUCUCGAACUCCUGACCUCAAGUGAUCCGCCUUCCUUGGCCUCCCAAAGUGUUGGGAUUACAGGCAUGAGCCACUGCUCCUGGGCCAUAGCUCUCUUUUAGAAUUCAGUUUUGAAUAGGUUUACCAAUGUGUUUGGGAAAGAAAAUCCCCUAGAUGUUUCAAAAAGAGUUUGUUGGAAAUUGUCACCUCCAUAACUUACAUCUCUUACUGAGCAGAACUAGCUUCCUGGUAACCAUGAAGUAAUUAAUGAAGAAGAGCAAUCUCAGAUGUUAAUUUUAGACCAGAAGAAGGACUUUAAAAGAGCUUCUCAGAAGAGAAUGGGAUGUAGAAAUUUCCAACAAGGGCAUGCAGGAGUGUGUGUCUGAGAGAGUCUUUUUGGAACUUCUUACUCUCAUUUAUAUUCAUCUGUUUUAUAUAUUGGGUACUGUAGAAGAUUUUAUCUGAAAAACAUAUUCAACUGUGACAGGAGGGGGAGGAGCCAAGAUGGCCGAAUAGGAACAGCUCCGGUCUACAGCUCCCAGCCUGAGCGACGCAGAAGACGGGUGAUUUCUGCAUUUCCAUCUGAGUGAACAUAGAUUCCUUCAGUAAAUAUUGGGAAAACAUUUGCUUCAGGCCCAUUACUGGGUACCGCUUUGAUACAGAGGACACACCAAGGAACAAGACAGAUAGGACCUCUGCCUCUGGUAAGUUUGCAUUCCAGAGGGAGGAGAAGACAAUAAGCAAGCAAGCCAUCAAGACCACGUCAGAUGAGACGAAUAAAGUCAGACAGCUUCCAAGGAGUGGAUGCUUAUGGAGAGAUCACAUGGAGCCUUGUAGCUGAUUUAUAAUCUCAUGGUCCUCAUUCAUACAUCAAACCCCUGAAGGCCUGGCAUUUUUAUCUCCCGACUCAACCUGCAUGCUACCAGAAGCUCGACAAAAUUACGGUGAAUAAGACAUGCUUCUUCCCUUCAAGAAGCUUCUAGUCAAUGGAGGAUAUGUAAGGCAGCAAUCUAACAGCAAUACAACACUAAACGUUCCUUGAGAAAAACACAAACAACAGGCAGAACUCAUGUCUGAGUAGAAGCUUCUUAGAAGAACUGAGUAGAACUUGGAAGAAACAUGUACCUCCUUCACACACAUAAUAUUGUUUUAUACUAUGCUAUCUUGUUGUAGGGGUACGUGUUGAUAUAUAACCCCAUUUUGCAUGUGAAGUCAAUGGGCUCAGUGGGCUCAGAGAGAUACAGUGAUUGAUUUGUUCUAGUUCCUUUUUUUUUUUUUUUUUGAGACAGAGUCUCACUGUGUCACCCAGGCUAGAGUGCGGUGGCUCAAUCUUAGCUCACUGCAGGCUCCACCUCCCAGGUUCAAGCAAUUCUCUGCCUCAGCCUCCCGAGUAGCUGGGAUUACAGGUACACUUUACCAUGCCCAGCUAAUUUUUGUAUUUUUAGUACAGAUGGGGUUUCACCACGUUGGCCAGGCUGGUCUUGAACUCCUGACCUCAAGUGAUUUACCUGCCUCGGCCUCCCAAAGUGCUGGGACUACAGGCGUGAGCCACCACGCUUGGCCUGCUCUAGUUCUUGUAGGUAAUAAGAGAUGGUGUUAAAUUCCUGUAACUAAUAAGAGAUGGGCUCAAAUUCUCCCUUGAACUCUAAGUCUGGCCCCUGGGCCACAUAAAGUAGGUCCUCUAAG
rnacentral:lncRNA from 1 species